GACGAACGCUGGCGGCGUGCUUAACACAUGCAAGUCGAACGGAAAGGCCCUGCUUUUGUGGGGUGCUCGAGUGGCGAACGGGUGAGUAACACGUGAGUAACCUGCCCUUGACUUUGGGAUAACUUCAGGAAACUGGGGCUAAUACCGGAUAGGAGCUCCUGCUGCAUGGUGGGGGUUGGAAAGUUUCGGCGGUUGGGGAUGGACUCGCGGCUUAUCAGCUUGUUGGUGGGGUAGUGGCUUACAAAGGGUGUGACGGGUAGCCGGCCUGAGAGGGUGACCGGCCACAUUGGGACUGAGGUACGGCCCAGACUCCUACGGGAGGCAGCAGUGGGGAAUAUUGCACAAUGGGCGGAAGCCUGAUGCAGCAACGCCGCGUGCGGGAUGACGGCCUUCGGGUUGUAAACCGCUUUCGACUGUGACGAAGCGUGAGUGACGGUAAUGGGUAAAGAAGCACCGGCUAACUACGUG
rnacentral:rRNA from 1 species